rnacentral:rRNA from 1 species
GAUGAACGCUGGCGGCGUGCCUAAUACAUGCAAGUCGAGCGAACGGACGAGAAGCUUGCUUCUCUGAUGUUAGCGGCGGACGGGUGAGUAACACGUGGAUAACCUACCUAUAAGACUGGGAUAACUUCGGGAAACCGGAGCUAAUACCGGAUAAUAUUUUGAACCGCAUGGUUCAAAAGUGAAAGACGGUCUUGCUGUCACUUAUAGAUGGAUCCGCGCUGCAUUAGCUAGUUGGUAAGGUAACGGCUUACCAAGGCAACGAUGCAUAGCCGACCUGAGAGGGUGAUCGGCCACACUGGAACUGAGACACGGUCCAGACUCCUACGGGAGGCAGCAGUAGGGAAUCUUCCGCAAUGGGCGAAAGCCUGACGGAGCAACGCCGCGUGAGUGAUGAAGGUCUUCGGAUCGUAAAACUCUGUUAUUAGGGAAGAACAUAUGUGUAAGUAACUGUGCACAUCUUGACGGUACCUAAUCAGAAAGCCACGGGCUAACUACGUGCCCAGCAGCCGCGGUAAUACGUAGGUGGCAAGCGUUAUCCGGAAUUAUUGGGGCGUAAAGCGCGCGUAGGCGGUUUUUUAGUCUGAUGUGAAAGCCCACGGCUCCACCGUGGAGGGUCAUUGGAAACUGGAAAACUUGAGUGCAGAAGAGGAAAGUGGAAUUCCAUGUGUAGCGGUGAAAUGCGCAGAGAUAUGGAGGAACACCAGUGGCGAAGGCGACUUUCUGGUCUGUAACUGACGCUGAUGUGCGAAAGCGUGGGGAUCAAACAGGAUUAGAUACCCUGGUAGUCCACGCCGUAAACGAUGAGUGCUAAGUGUUAGGGGGUUUCCGCCCCUUAGUGCUGCAGCUAACGCAUUAAGCACUCCGCCUGGGGAGUACGACCGCAAGGUUGAAACUCAAAGGAAUUGACGGGGACCCGCACAAGCGGUGGAGCAUGUGGUUUAAUUCGAAGCAACGCGAAGAACCUUACCAAAUCUUGACAUCCUUUGACAACUCUAGAGAUAGAGCCUUCCCCUUCGGGGGACAAAGUGACAGGUGGUGCAUGGUUGUCGUCAGCUCGUGUCGUGAGAUGUUGGGUUAAGUCCCGCAACGAGCGCAACCCUUAAGCUUAGUUGCCAUCAUUAAGUUGGGCACUCUAAGUUGACUGCCGGUGACAAACCGGAGGAAGGUGGGGAUGACGUCAAAUCAUCAUGCCCCUUAUGAUUUGGGCUACACACGUGCUACAAUGGACAAUACAAAGGGCAGCGAAACCGCGAGGUCAAGCAAAUCCCAUAAAGUUGUUCUCAGUUCGGAUUGUAGUCUGCAACUCGACUACAUGAAGCUGGAAUCGCUAGUAAUCGUAGAUCAGCAUGCUACGGUGAAUACGUUCCCGGGUCU